AGCUCACUGGUCGAGUCGGCCUGCGCGGAAGAUGUAACGGGGCUAAACCAUGCACCGAAGCUGCGGCAGCGACGCUUAUGCGUUGUUGGGUAGGGGAGCGUUCUGUAAGCCUGCGAAGGUGUGCUGUGAGGCAUGCUGGAGGUAUCAGAAGUGCGAAUGCUGACAUAAGUAACGAUAAAGCGGGUGAAAAGCCCGCUCGCCGGAAGACCAAGGGUUCCUGUCCAACGUUAAUCGGGGCAGGGUGAGUCGACCCCUAAGGCGAGGCCGAAAGGCGUAGUCGAUGGGAAACAGGUUAAUAUUCCUGUACUUGGUGUUACUGCGAAGGGGGGACGGAGAAGGCUAUGUUGGCCGGGCGACGGUUGUCCCGGUUUAAGCGUGUAGGCUGGUUUUCCAGGCAAAUCCGGAAAAUCAAGGCUGAGGCGUGAUGACGAGGCACUACGGUGCUGAAGCAACAAAUGCCCUGCUUCCAGGAAAAGCCUCUAAGCAUCAGGUAACAUCAAAUCGUACCCCAAACCGACACAGGUGGUCAGGUAGAGAAUACCAAGGCGCUUGAGAGAACUCGGGUGAAGGAACUAGGCAAAAUGGUGCCGUAACU
rnacentral:rRNA from 1 species